rnacentral:rRNA from 1 species
AGUGGCGGACGGGUGAGUAACGCGUGAGAAUCUGCCUUGGGGUCGGGGACAACCACUGGAAACGGUGGCUAAUACCGGAUACGCCUUCGGGUAAAAGAUUUAUUGCCCUAAGAGGAGCUCGCGUCUGAUUAGCUAGUUGGUGAGGUAAGAGCUCACCAAGGCAGCGAUCAGCAGCUGGUCUGAGAGGACGAUCAGCCACACUGGGACUGAGACACGGCCCAGACUCCUACGGGAGGCAGCAGUGGGGAAUUUUCCGCAAUGGGCGAAAGCCUGACAGAGCAAGACCGCGUGAGGGAGGAAGGCUCUUGGGUUGUAAACCUCUUUUCUCAGGGAAGAAGCUCUGACGGUACCUGAGGAAUCAGCCUCGGCUAACUCCGUGCCAGCAGCCGCGGUAAUACGGAGGAGGCAAGCGUUAUCCGGAAUUAUUGGGCGUAAAGCGUCCGCAGGUGGCGAUUCAAGUCUGCUGUCAAAGCACGGGGCUUAACUCCGUAAAGGCAGUGGAAACUGAAUAGCUAGAGUGCCGUAGGGGUAGAGGGAAUUCCCGGUGUAGCGGUGAAAUGCGUAGAGAUCGGGAAGAACAUCGGUGGCGAAAGCGCUCUACUGGACGGCAACUGACACUCAGGGACGAAAGCUAGGGGAGCGAAUGGGAUUAGAUACCCC